rnacentral:rRNA from 1 species
UACGUAGGCAGCAAGCGUUGUUCGGAGUUACUGGGCGUAAAGGGUGUGUAGGCGGUUGUUUAAGUUUGGUGUGAAAUCUCCCGGCUCAACCGGGAGGGUGCGCCGAAUACUGAGUGACUAGAGUGCGGGAGAGGAAAGUGGAAUUUCCGGUGUAGCGGUGAAAUGCGUAGAUAUCGGAAGGAACAUCAGUGGCGAAAGCGGCUUCCUGGUCCAGCACCGACGUUCAGGCACGAAAGCGUGGGGAGCAAACAGG